CCUACGAAGGCGCGGGCCCGCGGCGGGGCUGCAGCCGAGGCAUUUUUUCCUGCGCUGGCCGAGUCGCUCGUCCCUAAACAAGAAAAUCAUGUCACUGAUGGAGUGAAGCUCCAUAUUCAAGCUUAAAGACCAAAAUUUUUACAAGAAGAUCAAACGUCUGAUGAAAAGAAAGAUUUUUGAGACUACUAACUGCCUAUUAAAUAAGCAUUUACUGAACACCCCCUCACUAAUAUUCUGCUGUAAUCUGCUACCUUUUGCCUUCCACUUGAGGCAGAGAAUGAUGAGCCCUUAUUCCAAGUGCCUGAUGCGAAGAAGCUAUGUGGAAACUACAUAUAUGGUUAAUAUCUCCAACUCAGUCAAGAACAACAGAAACAUUUUCUACCACUCUUAAAUCCAGAAGGUAUUUGGAGGUGGUGCUAGAAAGGGAAAAACCAAUCUGACUGGUAAUACUUCUGCAGCAAAUAUAGGUAUCCUCCAUUUACAUGUGAACACUGAAGCAAUUUUCUAGUUUCAGAUUGACUUUUCAACCACUCAAUUAACAGAUUUCUGAAUGGUUGGAUUGGAUCUGUUGUAAAUCUGACUCAAGCACACAGACCCAAAAGCUGUGGAUCAGCCAUUAUCUGAGUCGGUGGUUUUUAUAUAUUUCUUUUCAUUGUCUGGAAACAACCAUGAACUGAUAAGAGAUGGAUUGAAGAGAUGUAAUCCUGCUUUUCAUAUCUAAAUGUGAACUUAGCUAACUGAAACACUCACUUUGAAAUGUGGUAUCAUGAUUUUGCUUAAAAACAAACCAUGUCAUCUGCUGCCCCUUAAAGAUACUGGCCCUACAAUCACGUAGCACAUACACCCCCUUACCACAUACCCACCAGUGUCCCCUCCCACAUGCUGGGCUUGUUUGUCACUGAAAAGGCUGUUUUUGCAGUGAAGCUGAAACAGUGAAACGGGAAGGAGCAGUCACAGCAUCCACAUCCCCAUUGUGCUCCCUUCUCUGAAUAACUGGGUUUGUAUGACGUCCGUGAACACCUGGAAUAAAAAUAAGUGGAAGAGAAAGAAUGUGUCAGUCACAGGGAGGACGUGGAGGACGUGUCAGUCACAUGGAAUUUACAAGAUGUUUCCUUGGCAGUCUUGAUAUAGCUGACCUUGCGUUUGAGUGGUCUCGAUCAGCAAUCCAGGAGAGACAGAAAGGGCCUCUGAGUCAAACCUGACCCAUCAUUUAAUAUUUUAGGAACAGGAAGGAAGUGUCAAGUUUACACAGUGGGCCUGUAAGGACAAAGUCUCAGAAAAGGUCACUAUAUAAUGUUUUAACACAAAAUAGACAGCUAUCUCCAGCAGAAAGAGGAAGUCUCUUAGGCCUCCCAUUUCUCCUGUUCCUCACAAUGAAGGGACAGUAUUAGCAACAUGAGGUUACAUCUAUAGUGCUUGCAAACUACCUUCCACCUGAUGCACAGCUUCUCCUACUUAGUCGCCCUUGUUUAACCCAUGAACUCCUGGAUUCAGCUUUGGGCACAAAAAUUAUUAAUGCAGUUCAUUUACUCAUAAAAGCAUCCCAAGUUUUGCAGACAGGGAGGAGGGAAAGAGAAUAGAGGCCAUGCAUGAAGCUCUGUCACAGGGUGGUCCCCCGGGAAAGGGGAGAUUCUAGGUUCACUGCCCCACCCACGGUAGGUAGGGCAGAGCUGAACAGGGAGGAAGAGAAGCAGGAAGGAGACUGAGAAGGAAGGAAGCAGGAUGGGAAGCAAGAAGGACACUUGGUGGAGGCACAUGGAGCAGAGAAACAUGUGAAGAAGUUGCACUUGCUUUUUGCUCCUGGACUGGUGAAACAGAUGUGGGUGAGAGACCCGUGGCAGCGUUCAUCUUGAUCUUGAUUUUGCUCCUUCUGUCCCAGAAGCGCUGCGCCCCUUCUGCCCCUUUCCUAUGGCUCCCCACCAAGAGGUGACCCUAUUUGGCUGGGCAUUUGCCUGUGAGGGCAUGGGUAACUUUGGGUGCUUGAUUUAGAAACUUUAUUCUUUCCCUUUUCUGAAUUGCACACUAAUUGUAUUAAAGUUCCUUUCCAUUAAAGAUCUUAGCGCUAGAGUUUGUUUUGUCUUGAUGUGACAGAUGGCAGAACCUAUUUCGAGGGGGCAGUUUUGGGGGUUCUGGGGUGCCCCACACCUUUCCCUGUAACAGCUCUUUAGUGACUCACGGGUGAGUAUUAUCAUUCAGCUGUGGCUGAAUGACAGAAUAGUAUUCAAGUUACUGGAAGAGCACAGUGGCAGGCUGCCCUUGGGCUACAGGAGGAAGUAGAAGACUCCAGGGAUGGGGACAUUUGAGUGGGUGGUAAAGGAUAAUUGCAAGUUACUGAGCAAAGAAGAAAGGGUGUUUUCUGUGCAGGGGCAAGACAUUCACAAAUGCUCUGUCCCACGCAGGAGAGGUCCGCAGAGCAGAGUUGGUUUGGCUGGAGCAUAGGGUGAGAGAGCCCAAGAGGGGGAGAAGAGACUGGAAUAGCAGUUUGGGGAC